AGGAAGAGUAAGGGCAGGCUUGGAAUGAAAACCCCUGGGGAGGAUCCUGAGUGUAGCAGGAAGUGGAGCUGUUGCUUGCCUGGAAGGUACAGCAGAGGCUCUGAGCCAAUAGAAAAUUUCCCUGAAGUUAGUGAGAAACCCUGUGACUAACGGAUCCUUUAGGAAACUUCGUCCUGAAUUGGACCUACAAGGACUGAGAGUCACAGAGGAUAAAGAAAGUCAAUUUCAGAUGGGCAAAGGAAGGGAGAAAGAGAGGAAGAGAAAUACUGAUUUGCUAGAGGUAUUGGAUCAGUUCAUACGUCCGCCACUGGGGACCUGCCCUGCAAC